AAUGACUUCAGUUCUAGCAGCUAGGCCUAUUGCUCGGCCCUUAUCCACAGAGGCACAGACGUUGCUGGAAGAAAGAAUUUCCUGUGAGCCAUGGCGUGUGUGGCUGCGACGCUGUCGUUUAGCUUCACCAGGUGUCUUAGCUUGACCUCUUCUCCGACUCGUGUUUCUCAUGGUUCAGUUCAAUUCGCUCCAAUGAACAAGAGGAAGUCGCUGAAAUUUUCUUCUUCUAGUAGCAUUUCUGGGGUUGCCUCACUUCUUCCACAGCAGCUCUGCAAGCUCUUGCCUCAACCUCGGAGGCCUCGGACUCUCACAGUCACAUCUGCUAAAGGCUACAAAAUGAAAACUCACAAGGCAUCAGCAAAGCGAUUCAGGGUGACAGGUCGAGGGAAAAUAGUGCGUAGGAGAGCUGGAAAGCAGCAUCUGCUGGCCAAGAAGAACACAAAGAGAAAAUUACGGCUCUCAAAAAUGGAUUUGGAAUUAGUAUUGACAUUGUUAAGUUCGCCUGCGUGUUACUACCACAGUUUAAAUUGUUGAUGUUGACUACUGACUGGGCAAGCUCAUUUGCUGACCUAGAUAUGCGACUUCUAUAAAACAAAAACAAAAAAGAAAAGAAAAAGAAGCCAAAAUGCCUUAAUGCUGUCGUCAUCUUCUUCGUUGGGGACGGCACCAUCAUCUUCAGUGUCUGUGUUAGCGCCGAUUUCGUCAAGCUCCUCUAGCUCCCCAAGAAGAUGAUGUCGUCCCUUGCUCACUGAAGAGUAUGAUGAACAGCUUCCCCUGGUCCUUUGCUGCAUCUUGCAUUUAAGCUCUGAUGAAGAUAAUUCCACAGUGUCUCUCUUCUCUCUCUAAACCAGUCGACGAUGUCCACUUCAGGAGGAAGAUGAUGAACAACAGGCUCUAUCAUGGGCAUAUUCAAGAUAUCGUCUCUUGUUCAGGGUGAUGAACAGUAGCUGCUUCAAGUCAUCCUCUCCUCCUCACCAAGACAAAUGAACAGUGACUGAAGAGAAGCAUCCAGUUGGUCGGAAUCCACUUAUCGAUUUCUCAAAUUGUGUUAAAGCUGGCAAUGACUCCACUGUUCCUCUGCUUCAACCUUCAUCGCCUAGAGCUGUGACGGCGUGUAGAGAGGAGGACGGCCACCGUCUUCUUCAGGCUAGCUACCACAGUGUUUUGGCUUUGAUUCUUUUAAUAAAAAAUCACAUAUCCAGGUCAUCCUUGCCCUGCCAACAGUUGACAUCAUUAAUAACGUUGUUAGUGACCCUUGGGCAAACUUAACACCGGCAAUUCCAGCUCCUGGUCCUUUUGAAACUAUAAGGACUAAUGAUUAUUAACAGAAUAAAUUUGAAGGACCAA